AGAGUUUGAUUCUGGCUCAGAACGUACGCUGGCGGCACGCCUAACACAUGCAAGUCGAACGAAGUAGCAAUACUUAGUGGCAGACGGGUGAGUAACAUGUAGGUAUCUUCCCUUUGGCCUGGAAUAACACGAGGAAACUUGUGCUAAUACUGGAUAAGUCUUUACGGAGAAAGCUUUAUGCACCAUUGGAUGAGCCUGCACUUGAUUAGUUUGUUGGUGGGGUAAAGGCCUACCAAGACUAUGAUCAAUAGCUGAUUUGAGAGGAUGAUCAGCCACAUUGGGACUGAGACACGGCCCAAACUCCUACGGGAGGCAGCAGUGGGGAAUCUUGCACAAUGGAGGAAACUCUGAUGCAGCGAUGCCGCGUGAGUGAAGAAGGCCCUUGGGUUGUAAAGCUCUUUCGUCGGGGAAGAAAAUGACUGUACCCGAAUAAGAAAGGUCCGGCUAACUUCGUGCCCAGCAGCCGGCGGUAAUACGAAAGGGACCUAGCGUAGUUCGGAAAUACUGGGCUUUAAGGGGUCGUAGGUGUUUGAAAUAGGUGGUGGGUGAAAUCCCAGAGCUUACUCUGGGACUGGCCUUC
rnacentral:rRNA from 1 species